UACGUAGGGAGCAAGCGUUGUUCGGAUUUACUGGGCGUAAAGGGCGCGUAGGCGGCAGAUCAAGUCAGCUGUGAAAUCUCCGAGCUUAACUCGGAACUGUCAGCUGAUACUGUUUUGCUAGAGUGCGGAAGGGGCAAUCGGAAUUCUUGGUGUAGCGGUGAAAUGCGUAGAUAUCAAGAGGAACACCUGAGGUGAAGACGGGUUGCUGGGCCGACACUGACGCUGAGUGCGCGAAAGCCAAGGGAGCAAACGGG
rnacentral:rRNA from 1 species